UGAUGUGGUUUAAUUCGAUCGCAACGCGAAAACUUACCACCUUUGACAUGGCAGGAAUCCCGAAGAGAUUUGGGAGUGCUUAGAAAGAGAACCUGCACACAGGUGCUGCAUGGCUGUCGUCAGCUCGUGUCGUGAGAUGUUGGGUUAAGUCCCGCAACGAGCGCAACCCUUGCCAUUAGUUGCUACGAAAGGGCACUCUAAUGGGACUGCCGGUGACAAACCGGAGGAAGGUGGGGAUGACGUCAAGUCCUCAUGGCCCUUAUAGGUGGGGCUACACACGUCAUACAAUGGUCGGUACAGAGGGUUGCCAACCCGCGAGGGGGAGCUAAUCCCAUAAAGCCAUUCGUAGUCCGGAUCGCAGUCUGCAACUCGACUGCGUGAAGUCGGAAUCGCUAGUAAUCGUGGAUCAGAAUGUCACGGUGAAUACGUUCCCGGGUCUU
rnacentral:rRNA from 1 species